UCGAACGAGAAAGUGGAGCAAUCCAUGAGUAAAGUGGCGACCGGGUGAGUAACACGUGACUAACCUACCCUGAAGUGGGGAAUAACCUCGGGAAACCGGGGCUAAUACCGCAUAACAUCGCGAGCUGUAAACGCUUGUGAUCAAAGGAGCAAUUCGCUUUAGGAGGGGGUCGCGGCUGAUUAGCUAGUUGGUGAGGUAACGGCUCACCAAGGCAAAGAUCAGUAUCCGGCCUGAGAGGGCGCACGGACACACUGGAACUGAAACACGGUCCAGACUCCUACGGGAGGCAGCAGUGGGGAAUUUUGCGCAAUGGGGGAAACCCUGACGCAGCAACGCCGCGUGGAGGAUGAAGUCCCUUGGGAUGUAAACUCCUUUCGAUCGGGACGAUUAUGACGGUACCGGAAGAAGAAGCACCGGCUAACUCUGUGCCAGCAGCCGCGGUAAUACAGAGGGUGCAAGCGUUGUUCGGAAUUAUUGGGCGUAAAGGGCGCGUAGGCGGUGCUGUAAGUCUGUGGUGAAAUCUCUGGGCUCAACUCAGAGUCUGCCAUAGAAACUGCAGUGCUGGAGUGUGGGAGAGGUGAGUGGAAUUCCCGGUGUAGCGGUGAGAUGCGUAGAUAUCGGGAGGAACACCUGUGGCGAAAGCGGCUCACUGGACCACAACUGACGCUGAGGCGCGAAAGCUAGGGGAGCAAACAGGAUUAGAUACCCUGGUAGUCCUAGCCCUAAACGAUGAUUGCUUGGUGUGUCGGGUACCCA
rnacentral:rRNA from 1 species